AGGUAAACUGAGCGCUUCGGCGCACCCAGAAACCCUUUGUGAACUUAUACCUUACUGUUGCCUCGGCGCAGGCCGGCCUCACUGAGGCCCCUCGGAAACGAGGAGCAGCCCGCCGGCGGCCAACCAAACUCUUGUUUCUUAGUGAAUCUCUGAGUAAAAAAAAACAUAAAUGAAUCAAAACUUUCAACAACGGAUCUCUUGGUUCUGGCAUCGAUGAAGAACGCAGCGAAAUGCGAUAAGUAAUGUGAAUUGCAGAAUUCAGUGAAUCAUCGAAUCUUUGAACGCACAUUGCGCCCUCUGGUAUUCCGGAGGGCAUGCCUGUUCGAGCGUCAUUUCAACCCUCAAGCAUUGCUUGGUGUUGGGGCACCGCCUGUAAAAGGGCGGGCCCUGAAAUCUAGUGGCGAGCUCGCCAGGACCCCGAGCGUAGUAAUUAUAUUUCGUUCUGGAAGGCCCUGGCGGUGCCCUGCCGUUAAACCCCCAACUUCUGAAAAUUUGACCUCGGAUCAGGUAGGAAUACCCGCUGAACUUAAGCAUAUCGAUGAGCGGAGGAA
rnacentral:rRNA from 1 species